GCAAGGAUCCCGUCUUAGUCACCAAGCCGAAGCAAUUAACUGAAAAUGUAGCAGGGAAAGAACAUGGCCCAACUGGAACAGCAAAUGCCAUGCGAUGCAACCAGCAUAAACGGCACAACAUGGCCUCAGCACAGAUACGACAUUUCUAUAACACACCAACAACAACUUCUUCAACAACAACACGACAACCUUUACAACAACAGCAGCACACGAACAACUGCUACUGCAUCAAACGGAGGCAAUUUCAAAACGAUACGUUUCUGUGCCACACACAAACACAAAGCGAAUCAGAGGCAGCAGCAGCAGCAAGAGCAACAGCCACAGCAACAUUAUGCCAGUCAACACUUGCGACAGCAGCGACAUCAGCAACAGGAGCAGCAGCAACAGAUGAUGUACCAGCCAGCGAAUGUCGGCAGUCCUGGACCACAGAUGAGAACUCGGCCAGAGAUAGAGACACCCAGCACAGGAUGCGAGAUCCUUUGGCCGACGGUGUUGCAGGCUGCGAUGUGGCUGUUGUUCCUGUCGUGCAGCAACAGCAGCUUCAGCAGGACCUGGCUGAUCCUGCUGCCUUUUUGGUCGCUUCUACAGGGACUUCGGAGCAGGUUCGCCUCGCCACGAGCACUUGCCUAUCACGCCUAUCUUCCAAAGUCAGUCAGGACUCUACGAAACAACAACGAAAGCUCUUUCAACACGGCGCCGCCACAAAGGACUGCGCUGCUGUCGGCCUCCUCACGGAUAUGCAAAAGUUUGCACGCUCUAUAUUUUCGCUGGUCAUCAUCUUUAAUCUGCUGCCCUUAUUCUAUGCAGGCGGUGCUCAUUUAAAGUCGAACGGCGCCGACGGAGAGCCUUGGAUGCAGCCGGUGGUGGCCUAUUUGGAGGUGUCGUCGCGACCCAUGAAAUCGCCAAAGUGUGAUCAGACCUUCGUGUCGCGGAUCGGUGGACCCCAGAAUGGCAGCUUCUCGGCCCCGCUGCUGCACAACCAUCGCAAUCACUCGCGCCAAUGCCUCUACACCUUCCUAGCAGGACCUGGCCAGCGCGUCGAAGUAGUUUUUAAAUCGUUUAAUUUAAGAGGAAGUCCGCCAGACGGUUCGGCCGUCGGUGAGUUACCAAGUUGUGUUCAUGAGUACAUGGAUAUCUACUCGGAGGUGCAGUCGUCGGAGCCAGCGGAACUGAUCAACUCACCAUUCGGGGGCCGCUACUGCGGCACCAUUCCGCCGCGUCGUCGCAUUUCCAUGUAUCGGGCAGUUGCGAUUUCUUUUUUUAGCAACAAGAACGUGACCACGGACCUGUUCGAGGGCACGUUUAGGUUUAUAAAUGCAUCGGAAUAUGAAAUUGGCAUACCCAUUGCGGGGUCGCCAUGUUCCUACACGAUAACGCCCAGCAUGAGCGUCAACAAAACUGGUGCGCUCAUAUCGCCAACCUAUCCAGGUGCCUAUCCGAAGGAUAUGUCAUGCACAUAUCAGUUUCUUGGUGAAUCGAAUCAGAGGGUUAGAUUAGAGUUUCGGGAUUUUGAUCUAUUUUUUGGUGGACCACACUGCCCAUUUGACUAUGUGAAAGUGUACGAUGGUCCAGAUAAUUCGUCAGCAUUAAUCGGUACAUAUUGCGGGCAGCAAAGAAACUUAGUUUUGUAUUCGAGCGAGUCGAGCCUUUUUGUUCAUUUUUAUACGUUAUCGCGCACCGCAAAUACCCAAAAUCGUGGCUUUAAAGGAAUUUAUGAAUUUAGCGAGAGUUUUGUUAAAUUAGAUUUUAUACGUGAAAAUGAUGGCAUUCACAUACGUGGCUCAGAAUGUGAUCAAAAGAUUUUAUCGAAGAAGGAAUCCACUGGCUUUGUGCUCUCACCCAACUAUCCCUAUCCCUAUAUACCAAAAACUGUGUGUAGAUAUUUUAUCUAUGGCAUGCAGGAUGCCCAGCAUCUGGAGCGUGUGCGUCUGGAGUUCAACGCUUUCAAUAUACCUAAGGUGGAGCACAAGGACAAGAGCGAGUCCAACUGCACGGACGGCUAUCUAAAGAUCUAUCUGAAGGGGCAGGAGACGGCCGAUGCCUACGACAAGUUCGACUACGAGUUGUGCGGCAAUGAGACGCAGCGAGUGAUCAGUGAGGGACCGCGGCUGGCCAUGGUCUUCAGUUCGGGUGAGCUGCAGGGUCGUGGCUUUAAGGGCAAGUACACCUUCGAGACGGAGUACAAGAUUCCGGGCACGGCGGCCCCGGAUGGCACCUGCAGCUUCACGUACGUGAGCAGUUCCAAGAAGCGCGGCGAACUGAACAGCCCGAGAUACCCCUCCAAUUAUCCCUCGGACACGAAUUGCUCAUAUCUGUUUCUGGCCGAGGCCGAUGAGCAGGUGACCAUCGUGUUUGACCAUUUCAAGAUCAAGGCGGACAACAAUGCAAACGCCACGGCGGGAGCUUAUGGUUCUGGCGCCUGCUUCGAGGACUGGCUGGAGAUGUAUGUCGUCUACCGGGACAACAACGACCGCCUGCUGGGCCGCUACUGCGGUCAGACAGCCCCCGGACCCGUCGAGAGCCCGCGGGGAGCGGUGGGGCUGCGUAUCACCCUGCACACGGACCAGGAGAGCGUGGCCAGCGGCUUCAAGGCCCGCUACUUCUUCGAGUCGGCCAAGUCGGAUGCCGGCGACUGCGGCGGCAACUUUAGCAACCAGGACUCGGGCCUCAUCACCUCGCCCAACUGGCCGGCCGGCUACAAGGCACCUGGUCGGGGCAUGGCCUCCAACGCCUGCAACUGGGUGAUGAAGGCACGCCCCGGCUACAAGCUGUCCAUUCACUUUGAGCAGUUCGGCCUGGAAGGAGACCCAGCAAAUCGCGGGUGUCCUGCCGCUGUGCUGCGGCUGUGGAUGAACGUGGACUCCGACCAGCCGCCGCUGGAGCUGUGUGGCGAGAAGCCGCCCGUGGAGCAGUGGCACUAUACCUCUACUGGCCAGACAGCGCGCAUCAGCUUCACCACCAGCGACAAGACAGUGGGUGCCCAGGGCUUCCGCAUUGUGUGGACCGAGAUACAGGACUCUGGCCCGGGUCCGCCGUCCGUGGGUCUGCACUGCGAGUCGACGUACCACUUCCAGUGCGGAGCCGGAUACUGCAUCUCGGAUAAGCUGCGAUGCGACGGGGUCAAGAACUGCGGACCCGGCGACGAUACUGACGAAUUGCACUGUGACGCAAACUCCACGCAUUUGCCCACAUUUCUACAAACUUUUGUUUUAGCAAUUACGGCAUUAGUGUUAAAUACGUACAACUAAAGUUAAACAAGAACGAAACUCGAAAAAUCAAAAUUUUUAAAUCGAAAUUGGAAUUGCCACGAGAAUCAAAUACGUGAAACAUAACUAAGAUAACAAAUUGAAAUGAAUGGAGCAUUCUGCUAGCAAGAAUUUGUACUCAUUUUUCUAACAACAAAACGAAGAAACUAAACCAAAAAUACUAACUCUAAUAUCUAAGUAAAUGAAACUCUUGGUCACAACUAACACGUACCACGGAAGCGGCAGAGGAGGACUACGACGUCCUAAUUAUAAUAACGCUUCUCGUCGUCUCGUCCCUAAUCUGUCUCCUAUGCA
rnacentral:misc_RNA from 1 species